UACGAAGGGUGCAAGCGUUAAUCGGAAUUACUGGGCGUAAAGCGCGCGUAGGUGGUUCAGUAAGUUGGAAGUGAAAUCCCCGGGCUCAACCUGGGAACUGCUUUCAAAACUGCGGAGCUAGAGUACGGUAGAGGGUGGUGGAAUUUCCUGUGUAGCGGUGAAAUGCGUAGAUAUAGGAAGGAACACCAGUGGCGAAGGCGACCACCUGGACUGAUACUGACACUGAGGUGCGAAAGCGUGGGGAGCAAACAGG
rnacentral:rRNA from 1 species